CCUUACGGCUCAGUAACACGUGGAUAACCUGCCCUUGGGUCCGGCAUAACCCCGGGAAACUGGGGAUAAUACCGGAUAACGCAUAUAUGCUGGAAUGCUUUAUGCGUCAAAUGGAUUCGUCUGCCCAAGGAUGGAUCUGCGGCCUAUCAGGUAGUAGUGGGUGUAAUGUACCUACUAGCCAACAACGGGUACGGGUUGUGAGAGCAAGAGCCCGGAGAUGGAUUCUGAGACAUGAAUCCAGGCCCUACGGGGCGCAGCAGGCGCGAAAACUUUACAAUGCGGGAAACCGUGAUAAGGGGACACCGAGUGCUAGCAUCAUAUGCUGGCUGUCCAGGUGUGUAAACUACACCUGUUAGCAAGGGCCGGGCAAGACCGGUGCCAGCCGCCGCGGUAACACCGGCGGCCCGAGUGGUGAUCGUGAUUAUUGGGUCUAAAGGGUCCGUAGCCGGUUUGGUCAGUCUUCCGGGAAAUCUGAUAGCUUAACUAUUAGGCUUUCGGGGGAUACUGCCAGGCUUGGAACCGGGAGAGGUAAGAGGUACUACAGGGGUAGGAGUGAAAUCUUGUAAUCCCUGUGCGACCACCUGUGGCGAAGGCGUCUUACCAGAACGGGUUCGACGGUGAAGGACGAAAGCUGGGGGCACGAACCGGAUUAGAUACCCGGGUAGUCCCAGCCGUAAACGAUGCUCGCUAGGUGUCAGGCAUGGCGCGACCGUGUCUGGUGCCGCAGGGAAGCCGUGAAGCGAGCCACCUGGGAAGUACGGCCGCAAGGCUGAAACUUAAAGGAAUUGGCGGGGGAGCAC
rnacentral:rRNA from 1 species